CCCCUUGAAUGUCUAAUUGGUAGAUAAUGUGCCUCAUUAAAAUCUUACAAGAAAAAAUUCAGUAGGAAAAAAAAUUUAGUGAAGGAAAAAGAGUACACAUCUCUAAUAAUACGCAUUUCGGCCGCCUCAUUAAAAACCUUACAAAGAAAGCCCAGUGGGACAAAACCUAAUAAGGGAAAAAGAGUACAACGCAUAUUAACACCCCC
rnacentral:lncRNA from 1 species